rnacentral:tmRNA from 1 species
GGGGCUGUCAUGGUUUCGACAGGGAUAUGUUUGGUGCAGACUGCAGUCGUGUCGCUACGUAAAGGCUUAAAAAAUAACUGGAAAAAAUUUCUUAGCAAACUUAUUCGGUGGAAACCGUCAAGUUGCUUUUGCUGCUUAAUUAACCUAACAACUGGUUUGCAGCCGUCCAAUCAGGUUUUGCCUUUAGGCUUGGUUUGGGUGUAAGAGAUAAAGGAUAGGGGUGUACCUUUGUUUGAGAAGUGCAUCAUGAAAAUUCCAUCAAACGCCUCAGGAAGAGUUUGUUCAUCGCUACUUGCUGAGUAAUUAGUAUGAAAUAAACUGUAGACGUCUGUACGAGGAACUAUUUUUGGACGCGGGUUCGACUCCCGCCAGCUCCACCA